UAAAGUUCGUGACUAUCUCAUUCCUUUCGAUUGGUAAGGGACAACCAUUAUGAGUUUGUGAUUCCAUCCUCUUGAGAGGGAUACGAUAUGAUUGAUCACUUAAUGGGAUAUUCUCCUUCUGAAAUUUGAAUGCAAGUCUAAACUAACUGAAGACUACCCUGUCCCUUAUUUAACAUGAGGGUUUGUAUAUAUAAAGAAAGAAACUCCUACUUCAAGGCCCAAAGGGGUUGACUAGGGAUUAACUUCCUUAUAUCUCUG
rnacentral:lncRNA from 1 species